ensembl:miRNA
AAUAUGAAACUGACUGAAUAGGUAGGGUCAUUUUUCUGUGACUGCACAUGGCCCUACCUAUUCAGUUAGUUCCAUAUU